rnacentral:misc_RNA from 1 species
AGAGAGAGGGAGAGAGAAAGAGAGGAACUCUAGGCCUUGAAUCUUUGGGCUAUUGGCUUAUAGCUAGUUGUAAAUGUGUGAUGCAUAAUGGGUUUUUCCUUCGCCCUGUGGAGCCAUGCAAUGGUAGUCAAGACCGUUCAUGCGCGUACUUGGUCAUUUAGGUCUCGUUUCUUUAUGUAGCUGCUGCCUUUUUAUGUGUGUGUGUAUUUUCUUUUUUUAAUUUUUUAAUAACCUGUCUAUCUUGCUGCCUUAAGUUGCUU